UAUUUUUUAUUUUUUUUCCUAAAUAAAUGGAAAGCAGAGCUGUCGCUGAUGGAGAUGGAUGAGGCAGGGCUGGAAGCGCCGCAGCCCUGCUCCGGCGUGGCCCUGGCACCGACGGCAUAAGUGACCUUUCCCAGGCGGUGGGAGGGGGGAUUCCCCCCCUGCUCCAGCAUGCUUCUGCUCGGAAUUCAUUUUAAAUAGCAGGAGUAUUAUUUUUUAUUUUUCUUCCCCCCGCCCCUCCCAUUUCUCCUUCACUGUUUUUGUUUUGGUUUGGUUUUUUUCCCCGAAGCUUCCUCAUGAUCUUUUAUUUUCUUCCUGUGUGUGUUUUGAAUUGCGUUUUAAAAUUGCCCAGCUGGAGACAAGGCUUGAUUAGAGCUGGAACAAUAGCUCCCUUUUAUUAAUAACGGGAAGGAUUUACAAUCAUACAGCACCUUCCUUGGAAAGCUUUCCAAACCAUUUACAAACACUCACAAAUUUCAGAUUGUGCAGCCCUUGGCUGUGAGAUGGUCCCUAAGUGACCUCCUGCAGUGCUGCCUGCACUGCGGUUCCACCGCAGCUUUGCACUGGAGCACUGAUGUUUGUCCCUGUGAGCCAGAGUGACCUUGCUGGGGGUACUUGGGCCCACCGAGCGAUUCAGGUGCUGUGCUUUGAUCCCAAAUCCCUGCACCUUGCUUUUUUCCAGCACAUCCCCUCACUCAGGGGGAUGCUGCAGUUAUGGGUUAAAGCUGUUUCAUGCCUUUUUUUUUUUUUUUCUCAGUUGGUUUGGUUUGGAUUUUUUCUUCUUCCUCCUUUUUUUUUUUUUGGUUUGUUUGUUUAUUUCCAAGGGAAACAAUAUAUUGUUUACAUAACCCCUCUCCUCAGCAGAUCCCUCCAAACCAAGCAGGGAUCCAGGAGUCACCCAGGCAGUGGGAUCUGGCCUUUCCAGAAGCAUGAGGGACAAGGCUCCAGCUGUAUCUGCGUGUCACACACAGGCCACACAAACCCGCAGUGUUCCUGUGGUUACUUCUGUCUGCAGAGCUGCUGGAAUGUGCAUUGGCAGGUAUGCAAAUGUGGAGACUGUAACAGCAGCGAAUGAGGAUGGAUGAGCUGUUUUCUGGGGUCACAUCCAACUCCAGAGAAGAAACCCUGGUGAUUUACAAUUUUUUUCUUGUCUCUGCCUGGAAGGCCACAGUCCUGUCUAGUGACGAAAUCCCUGUUUGGGGAGAACCCUUGUGAGGUGAGCAGACACAGUUGGGGGCAAGGGGAGGCAGGGCAAAGACUGGCACUGUGAUAUUCCUAUUUUUUCCCGACAACAGGCUAAAAAAAAGGUGCUAUUUCUAAUAUAUCCACCACACCAUAAGUGAGAGUAAACUCUUUUGCUGUUCUGUGUUGGCAUAUAGGAUUUGGUUGUGUGGCUCAACCAUCACACUGGGUUCUGCUGCUGAAGAAACCUCUGGUUCUUUGUAGAAGGAAUUUUAAAAACAGCAAUGUGUUUUUAUAUAGAGAUAAAAAUGGGUUCAAUGUCAACUGAAGUUCAGAGGCUCCUGUAUACUGGGCUGUGGGAUGUGACUGGUGCUAAGCCACUGGCUAAAAUGGUGGCAUUUUGUGGCAGCUCCCAUCCCUGGCACUGUGCAUAAGAACACAGGGAAGAGCAUCAGAAAAUAGAUUACUGAAUUCUGCAUUUCAAAAACAUGAAGGGAGUUUUCUGCACAGAGUCAUCUCAUCAGGAAGAUAUGGAGCACUAACCCUCAGAAAGAACUGAAAUCAAGAGCUUUAUUAAUAUAAAUCCUGUGCUUUGUGUUGGUUAAGGCUCCAGAACCCGGCUCUGUGCUCCAAGUGUUUUCAGCCCCUAAGCUGACAGCCUCUGGCUUGGCAACAAAUGGGCCUAAAUAUCAAACAGCACCAAUUCUUUCCUGGAAAAAAAUGAGCAUAAAGAAGAAUGGGUAAGCUAUAAAAUUAGGCCAAUAAUUCAGGCUGGCUUAAAAAGGAGAUAAAAGCCUAGCUGGGAAUUUGAUAUUCGUCUGUCAUAGUGUUCUUUUAAUAAAUACAAUCAAUGAGCAAGGAAGGCACGUAAAUACAUUUUACCUUGACAAGAUGGUGGCUGGCUCAAACAAAGGAACGCUCUGAGUGUUUCUUGGGGCUCUUUGCUGUAAAACCCUUUUCUUGCUUUUUUACAAAAAGCAUAGAAACUGGCUGUGCACUGGUGGUGGGGAUAAUCCUCGUGUUCCCACUCAGAUCCCCGUGAAUCCCGGCUGAUGUAGCCAGGGAGAGAUGUAAUAUCCCCCCUUCCCAGCACGACACACAGAGGUGUUGCUGUGCCAGACCUGAGGGUAGGAAGCUAGAGUCUGAGCAAACAGAACCCUGGUUGCUGUCCUUGCUCAGUAUCUCAUCUUUGGUUUUUGAGCAGUCUCAGCAACGCAUGGCAGCUCUGCCACUCGGGAAAGGCACUGUGUUCAAAAUGGAUAAACCUGCCUUUUGAAGCAUUGUGUCUGCCCACUUCUAUUUAUUGGUUUUUCCUCCUCAAAGAGAGGCUGCUGUGUGGACCUCAAAGAUGUUUUCUGCUUCUCCUGCCCUUUUUUUUUCCCCUUCAAACUGGAGAGCUGCUAACUUUAUUAGCUCCUUAUAUGGCAGCCCCAUUUUCUCACGCCUUUAAUGGCUCUCUUUUGAUCUAUCCUGUUCUUGCCUUGCUUUUCCUGAACGUGGUGCUCAAGCUGAGAUAGGUUUAUAACCUGCUGCCUCACUAAUAAAUGGCCUGGCCCUUUAAUUCUCUCCAAGCACCGAUAAGAAACAUCCAAAUGUUUUAACUGUGGGGUUGGCUGAGAUGUCCGGAGAUAGCCGGGCUCUCAGCUACACCCUCCCAGGAAUAAUUUCAAUUGUUCCUUGCAUGUGUAUCCCAAAGGCCAAGGGCCAUCGGGUCAUGGAACAGCUCAAGCCCCCUUGUCCUCAGCUGUUUGGCCCCUGGGAAGGGCAACACACAGGGCAGUGCAUCCGUGUCUGGGCACUCAUCACGCUGUUGCUGAUGGCAGGACACUGGGCUGGCACAAACGUGUGUCUGUUCUGCAGACACCAGGAUGGUGCUGGUCCUUCCUCACAGCCCCUCUGGCCUGCUGAGGGGAGGGUUAUACCUGCUCUGGUCUCCAGCCUGGGUCUGUGUUCUUUAAAAUCUUCAGCUGAACUGGGGGGGAUCUGGUUACAGCAGCAUCGCUGGUGCGGUCACAACUAGGAACAGUUUCCCUGCAAGCCAUUGGGAAAGUAUCAUGAUGGCUCAAAGCUUUGUUUUGCAUCACCAGCAGAGCUUUGUGCUCCUCUUCCAGCUGGCUGUUGUGUAAAUGGAACCCUCCUGGCACUCGUCUCAACCCUCUCCUGUCAACAGAGUCGAUGGCUUUGUUUGCGACAGCGCCCAGCCCCUGUGUGUCCUGUGAGAUGGCCGGGUGACAGCAGGGACUCCACGUGAGAUUCCCUGGAAGGAGCUGGGAGCUGGCGUGGUUUCCUCGUGUCCCUUGGAGAUGCCACCCCAGCAGGGAGGAAGAACGCUUGGAAUUGCAGUUGCAGCAAGUGCACUGCAUCAGGGAGGGAGAAUUUGUCAUGGAAAGCAGGUAGAAUGGAAAGCAGAGCCCAGUUCCACACUGGAAGCGCCGGUGAAGCGUGUUGGCAUCGCAUUUUCUUGUGCGCACGUGGC